rnacentral:rRNA from 1 species
GACGAACGCUGGCGGCGUGCCUAAUACAUGCAAGUCGAACGCUUCUUUCCUCCCGAGUGCUUGCCCUCAAUUGGAAAGAGGAGUGGCGGACGGGUGAGUAACACGUGGGUAACCUACCCAUCAGAGGGGGAUAACACUUGGAAACAGGUGCUAAUACCGCAUAACAGUUUAUGCCGCAUGGCAUAAGAGUGAAAGGCGCUUUCGGGUGUCGCUGAUGGAUGGACCCGCGGUGCAUUAGCUAGUUGGUGAGGUAACGGCUCACCAAGGCCACGAUGCAUAGCCGACCUGAGAGGGUGAUCGGACACACUGGGACUGAGACACGGCCCAGACUCCUACGGGAGGCAGCAGUAGGGAAUCUUCGGCAAUGGACGAAAGUCUGACCGAGCAACGCCGCGUGAGUGAAGAAGGUUUUCGGAUCGUAAAACUCUGUUGUUAGAGAAGAACAAGGACGUUAGUAACUGAACGUCCCCUGACGGUAUCUAACCAGAAAGCCACGGCUAACUACGUG